UAGUCCACGCCGUAAACGAUGGAUACUAGCUGUUGGACUUCGGUUGAGUGGCUAAGCGAAAGUGAUAAGUAUCCCACCUGGGGAGUACGUUCGCAAGAAUGAAACUCAAAGGAAUUGACGGGGCCCGCACAAGCGGUGGAGCAUGUGGUUUAAUUCGAUGAUACGCGAGGAACCUUACCAGGGCUUAAAUGUAAGUUGCAUGAUUUAGAGAUAGAUCUUUCUUCGGACUACUUACAAGGUGCUGCAUGGUUGUCGUCAGCUCGUGCCGUGAGGUGUCAGGUUAAGUCCUAUAACGAGCGCAACCCCUGUUGUUAGUUGCCAGCGAGUAAUGUCGGGAACUCUAACAAGACUGCCAGUGCAAACUGUGAGGAAGGUGGGGAUGGACGUCAAAUCAUCACGGGCCCUUACGUCCCUGGGGCUACACACGUGCUACAAUGGUAGGGGACAGAGAGCAGCCACACCGCGAGGUGGAGC
rnacentral:rRNA from 1 species